rnacentral:lncRNA from 10 species
GGUACUUCCAUACACUGAAAAAGGAAGGGAGAACUGGAUAUUGGGCAGUGUGAAUAUCAAUUACGUAUGGCAAGGAGGAGAUUGAAUGCAGACACUAAUAUUCAGAGACAGAGUCCUGCUGUGUCAUUCAGGCUGGAGUGCAUGGCACCAUCUCGGCUCACUGGAACCUCCACCUCCUGGGCUUAAGUGAUUCUCCUGCCUCAGCCUCCCAAGUAGCUGAGACUACAAGCACGCACUACCAUGCCCAGCUAAUUUUUUUUUUUUUUUUGAGGCGGAGUGUCGCUCUCUCGCCCAGGCUGGAUGGAGUGCAGUGGCACAAUCUCAGCUCACUGCAAGCUCUGCCUCCCGGGUUCAUGCCAUUCUUCUGCCUCAGCCUCCCGAGUAGCUGGGACUACAGGCACCCGUCACCACGCCCGGUUAAUUUUUUGUGUUUUUAGUAGAGAUGGGGUUUCACCGUUUUAACCAGGAUGGUCUCGAUCUCCUGACCUCAUGAUCCGCCCACCUCGGCCUCCCAAAGUGCUGGGAUUACAGGUGUGAGCCACUGCACCCGGCCUAAUUUUUGUAUUUUUAGUAGAGAUGGGGUUUCACCGUGCUGGCCAGGCUGGUCUCAAACUCCUGACCUGAAAUGAUCUACCCGCCUUGGCCUCCCAAAGGGCUGGGAUUACAGGCAUGAGCCAUUGAACCUGGCCUAUGUCUUUACAUCCUUUUAAAGUAAUUGUUUGGAAUUGGAUUGUGGAGUUGUGUCAUCAACAUUAAAGCUAAUUUUCUGUUUGGGAGCACUUGGGCUAUUUUCAUCCCUUGGUUCCCACAAAUAAUAUUAUUUAUUUAUUUUAUUUACUUAUUUUUAUUUUAUUUUUUGAGACAAGGUCUGGUUUUAUUGCCCAGGCUGAAGUGCAGUGUUGUGAUCUCAGUUCACUGCAACCUCUGCCUCCCAGGCUCAAACGAUCCUCCCACCUCAGCCUCCUGAGUAGCUGGUACUACAGGCACACCACCAUACCUGGCUAAUGUUUUAAAAAAUUUUUGUAGCAGUGUGGUUUUGCCAUUCUGCCCAGGCUGGUCUUGAACUUGUGAACUCAAACAAUCUGUCCACCUCAGCCUCCCAGUGUGCUGGGAUUACAGGUGUGAGCCACCUCACCCGCCU